rnacentral:rRNA from 1 species
AUUGAACGCUGGCGGCAGGCUUAACACAUGCAAGUCGAGCGGAGAUGAGGUGCUUGCACCUUAUCUUAGCGGCGGACGGGUGAGUAAUGCUUAGGAAUCUGCCUAUUAGGGGGGGACAACAUUCCGAAAGGAAUGCUAAUACCGCAUACGUCCUACGGGAGAAAGCAGGGGAUCUUCGGACCUUGCGCUAAUGGAUGAGCCUAAGUCGGAUUAGCUAGUUGGGGGGGUAAAGGCCUACCAAGGCGACUAUCUGUAGCGGGUCUGAGAGGAUGAUCCGCCACACUGGGACUGAGACACGGCCCACACUCCUACGGGAGGCAGCAGUGGGGAAUAUUGGACAAUGGGGGGAACCCUGAUCCAGCCAUGCCGCGUGUGUGAAGAAGGCCUUAUGGUUGUAAAGCUCUUUAAGCGAGGAGGAGGCUACUGAGACUAAUACUCUUGGAUAGUGGACGUUACUCGCAGAAUAAGCACCGGCUAACUCUGUGCCAGCAGCCGCGGUAAUACAGAGGGUGCGAGCGUUAAUCGGAUUUACUGGGCGUAAAGCGUGCGUACGCGGCUUUUUAAGUCGGAUGUGACAUCCCCGAGCUUAACUUGGGAAUUGCAUUCGAUACUGGGAAGCUAGUGUAUGGG